CAUCACAACGCCCAGCAACUGUGCAGAGCUCUGGAAGACAGGGUGCAGAAUUAUGAUCUGGAUUUGUGCUAGAACACAGGACAUGGCACUCGGGGGAAGAGCUACCAGCGUGCUGACCUCCAGCCUGCUGAGGACAGUCAUGGCCUCCAUCUGUCUCGGCUCCAGCAUGGCCCAGACGGUAACUCAAGCCCAGACUGCAACUUCAGUGAUGGAGAAGGGAAGUGUGACCUUGGGCUGUGGAUAUGAAACCAGUGAUCCUACUUACUAUUUAUUCUGGUACAAACAGCCACCAACUAGGGAAAUGAUUGCUCUUAUUCGUCAGGACUCUUAUAAUGAGAAGAAUACAUCAGAGGGUCGGUAUUUUCUGAACUUCCAUAAAUCAGCCCGUUCUAUCAGCCUCACCAUCAUGACCUCACAGCUCACUGACUCCACAGUGUAUUUCUGUGCUCUGAGAGAACACAGAGAUGUGGGUACCUGCAGGAACCCAACAAAAACCUCAAUGGGUGACAGUGCCCCUAGGGGAGGGGCUCCCUCACAGACAGGAAGCAGCAGGGCUGUGUCAGCACAGGUGGGGGUUGGACAGGGAACUGCAGCUCAAUUCAUAUAGGUGUCUAGAUUUAUUUUUUAUUGGAUGCAUAUGCGUGCUUCUCUUCCUUAGAUUAGAAUGAGAUAGAAUACUUAGCACAUGUUUUAGAUCAGAUAUAAGAAUGUAAAACAGAAAUUGCAACAACAAAAAAUCUACUAAUCUUGUGUGAGACACAAAUUAAAUAAUCUUGUGUGACUGCCCAGCAAUCACACUCCUCGAUUACUGGGUUAUCACACAAAAUUAUCUCAUCUCGGUCUUACAUAAAAGUGCAACAGAAAAAAAACAUUAAUCUCAAAUGGGAAAUUUACCUGAUUAUGUUUAGAUCAAAUAAAUAAUUCCACUGAUGAGAUAGCAAAUUUCCAGAA